ACGAACGCUGGCGGCGCGCCUAACACAUGCAAGUCGAACGGGGUCUGUUUCUAACACCGAGAGCCGGUCCAGGAGGAUGGGUUUUGGGUGUUGGAGACAGACCUAGUGGCGGACGGGUGAGUAACACGUGAGCAACCUACCUUCAGGAGGGGAAUAACGGCUGGAAACGGUCGCUAAUACCGCAUAACACAUUUGGGGGACAUCCCCUGGAUGUCAAAGAUUUAUCGCCAGAAGAUGGGCUCGCGUCCGAUUAGAUAGUUGGUGAGGUAACGGCUCACCAAGUCGACGAUCGGUAGCCGGACUGAGAGGUCGAACGGCCACAUUGGGACUGAGACACGGCCCAGACUCCUACGGGAGGCAGCAGUGAGGGAUAUUGCACAAUGGGCGCAAGCCUGAUGCAGCGACGCCGCGUGAGGGAAGACGGUCCUCUGGAUUGUAAACCUCUGUCUUAUGGGACGAAAAUGACGGUACCAUAGGAGGAAGCCCCGGCUAACUACGUGCCAGCAGCCGCGGUAAUACGUAGGGGGCGAGCGUUGUCCGGAAUUACUGGGUGUAAAGGGAGCGUAGGCGGGAAGGUAAGUCUGUUGUGAAAUCUAUCGGCUCAACCGAUAGCUGCGGCAGAAACUGCCAUUCUUGAGUGGAGUAGAGGCAGGCGGAAUUCCUAGUGUAGCGGUGAAAUGCGUAGAUAUUAGGAGGAACACCAGUGGCGAAGGCGGCCUGCUGGGCUUUUACUGACGCUGAGGCUCGAAAGUGCGGGGAGCAAACAGGAUUAGAUACCCUGGUAGUCCACGCCGUAAACGAUGAGUGCUAGGUGUUGGGUAGCGAUAUUCAGUGCCGAAGUAAACACAAUAAGCACUCCGCCUGGGGAGUACGGUCGCAAGACUGAAACUCAAAGGAAUUGACGGGGGCCCGCACAAGCAGUGGAGUAUGUGGUUUAAUUCGAAGCAACGCGAAGAACCUUACCAGGUCUUGACAUCUCCUGCAUAGCCUAGAGAUAGGUGAAGUCCUUCGGGACAGGAAGACAGGUGGUGCAUGGUUGUCGUCAGCUCGUGUCGUGAGAUGUUGGGUUAAGUCCCGCGACGAGCGCAACCCUUGUAUUUAGUUGCUACGCAAGAGCACUCUAGAUAGACUGCCGUUGACAAAACGGAGGAAGGUGGGGAUGACGUCAAAUCAUCAUGCCCCUUAUGACCUGGGCUACACACGUACUACAAUGGCGAGUAAACAGAGGGAAGCGACGUCGCGAGGCGAAGCGAACCCCAAAAAAUCGUCUCAGUUCGGAUUGUAGGCUGCAACCCGCCUACAUGAAGUCGGAAUUGCUAGUAAUCGCGGAUCAUCAUGCCGCGGUGAAUACGUUCCCGGGCCUUGUACACACCGCCCGUCACACCAUGGGAGUCGGUAACACCCGAAGCCUGUAGCCUAACCUUUCAGGAGGGCGCAGUCGAAGGUGGGAUUGAUGACUGGGGUG
rnacentral:rRNA from 1 species